CCCUGGCUCAGGAUGAACGCUGGCGGCGUGCUUAACACAUGCAAGUCGAACGAUGAUCCCAGCUUGCUGGGGGAUUAGUGGCGAACGGGUGAGUAACACGUGAGUAACCUGCCCUUAACUCUGGGAUAAGCCUGGGAAACUGGGUCUAAUACCGGAUAUGACUCCUCAUCGCAUGGUGGGGGGUGGAAAGCUUUAUUGUGGUUUUGGAUGGACUCGCGGCCUAUCAGCUUGUUGGUGAGGUAAUGGCUCACCAAGGCGACGACGGGUAGCCGGCCUGAGAGGGUGACCGGCCACACUGGGACUGAGACACGGCCCAGACUCCUACGGGAGGCAGCAGUGGGGAAUAUUGCACAAUGGGCGAAAGCCUGAUGCAGCGACGCCGCGUGAGGGAUGACGGCCUUCGGGUUGUAAACCUCUUUCAGUAGGGAAGAAGCGAAAGUGACGGUACCUGCAGAAGAAGCGCCGGCUAACUA
rnacentral:rRNA from 10 species